ACUCGAACAAUUCUAUGUGUGGUUCAUAUUUGUCUGGUCAGCCAAAAUGAAAGCAUGAAAGGGAAACAAAGCUAAAGAAUAAGUAUAUUGCAAAUUUUGGGAAGCCAGCACUAAUAAUGCCAUCAGAUUGAAAGACAGUCCAACACCAGUCACUAAAAGGUGGAAGUGGGAAAAAAAAGAGAAACUGAACAAAAUGAGUUUAAAAUGAAGUCACUUGAGAAUACGAUUCCACUGCGGUAUAUAAGAUACAGCUCUAGAUCAUCCACCCUCUCUCUUGGAUUUUGUUGAUGCUUUGGGGCUGCCACCCAUAGGCAUACAUUUUCCAAAUGCUGGUUAAAGAGGAGCAGUGCCUGCCUCCACCAGGAACACCAAGCCUGAGAACUGUGUAGAGCCUCCCGGGCAAGACUUGGCUGCAGAUAAAUAAUUCUUCAUGUGCAGAGUAGGUGAAAACAGGGGUAAUGUUUCAGCCAAACCCAAGUAUCUGGGAGCUGCCAGAAGCCUCUGAAACUGGUGAGUCACCCAGGCACUCAGCACGGAUCCCCUGGGCUGUGGGGCCAGCUGAAACUGCGGGUCAACCCACCACACAGAAAGAAAUAACCUGACAACCAGCCCAUCAGUUUUCACAGCUCUUUCUAGCUGGAAGAUCCAGUCAAAAAGAAAAAUUUGCUCUUCAGAUGGAGUUGGCAGGAGGCAAGCAGAUUUAUUGUGGUUGACUUAUAAUACAAUAGGACUUGAAGCAGCUGGGUUUUUCUACUUCAUACUCAGUAAACACAUUAAUUCUGAACCACAUUUAUUGAAUCCAGACUUUUCUUGCAACCCUUUCUGGUGUCUAAAUCCAAGAUGAACCCUCAAAAUCUGUGCUUCUUGUUUUGGACACGUUGUAUGCAGGAACCACUUUGGAAGGGUUAGUAAGAUGAAAUCAGGAGAUGUUUUAAAUUAAAAAAUGUUGUCAUUUCAUGUAAUUGAUUUUGAGUGAAAAAUACACAAAUGCCAAGUCUGUCCUGACUCCUACAGCAUAAGUUUCUCUCUUGACCUAUUUUUUUUUUAUGUCUACAAUAAAAAUAUCUGUCAUGUCAUGUAAACGCUCAUGUAUAAUCAACAAGGUAAGAGCCCUCAAGUUGGUACACACAGUAUUGCAGAGAGUAUUGCCAUAAUGUCAGUAUCAUGAAAGCAAUCCCGAAAUCCUGAUUCCUUAAGUUAGGUUUUAGAUUUAUGAUCUUCAUCUUUAUGUAAGUCACAUUUAUAAUUUUGAGCCCUAUAAUUUGGCAAAACAAGAACUAUAAAAUCAAUACAUAAGCUGAAUAUUUCUUGAUAUAAUUUAGUCCAAUAUUUCAUGUUUCAGUCCAAUUCUAUGUAAAUACACCUUCAAUAAAUGCUACAUGUAGAGUCAAUCUACACAAGCAGUUCAUUGAGAUGUCUGUGGUACUUGGGACUGGAUGCAGCCAUUGAUUAAUAAAUCCCUUAAUAAUCUA